CCCUUUCCUGUGUCCUUUUAAGGUUGACACAGUGCCUUAAGAGGCUAACACAGAAGGGUAAAGGAAGCCUCCAUAAAACCCAGAGAAGAGCCUGAAACUCCUCUUUGGAUCCUGUCUGGAGUCACAACU
ensembl:snoRNA